UACGUAGGGCGCAAGCGUUGUCCGGAAUUAUUGGGCGUAAAGAGCUCGUAGGCGGUCUGUUACGUCCGCUGUGAAAACCCAGGGCUUAACCCUGGGCUUGCAGUGGAUACGGGCAGACUAGAGGCAGGUAGGGGAGAAUGGAAUUCCCGGUGUAGCGGUGAAAUGCGCAGAUAUCGGGAGGAACACCGGUGGCGAAGGCGGCGACCUGGGUCGAUACUGACGCUGAGGUGCGAAAGCGUGGGGAGCGAACAGG
rnacentral:rRNA from 1 species